GCAGGAAGCUCAGCAAGGAUGGCCAGGGCAGCUGCCACCAGUCUACUUCCCUCCUCCAACAGGGUCUUCGGCUUUGAAACCUUUCCUCCUGGGCUACCUGCCAGCUUAGGGUUCAGUUCUGGGAGCUGUCUAACGAGGAUGCAGACACAGAGUUCCAGGGCUGCAAAGACCAAAGACUUCCCAGCCUUAAAAUAGUGCCUGAUCAAACUCAUCUCUGUGCUGUUAUAAGUGAGAAUCUGACAGCAGCAGCUCCAACAGCGACUCUGUCAUCUUAAAGACUGGCAGCGGCCGGGCACAAGGAUUAGACUAGACUCUGCCCACCGGCCCCCACAUACUGCCCGCCUCUGCCCAUUUGCUCUUUAGGUCUGUAUUGCCGUCUGCCCUAGUUUCAGCAGUAUCCAGAUUGUGUGGUUACCCCGAGUAACACUUGUGAAGACAAUGACACUGUGCUGCGUUGUGUGGCUGUGGCUGUGCCUAGGGGAACAGCGCUUGCCCACUACAUACAGAGUGUAUGACUCUCAGAACUGGGAUGAGAAGGGAUGCUAUGUCACUGAGUUAAUAUUUACCUUCUGCACUACGUCUUUUUUCCUUCACAUGUUCUUGGGCGGCACAGAUAAUCUGCCUGACCACUUCAAGUGAAGCCAGUUGAAUGGCUGGUGACUCUCUGGUCAAAAUUACUCGGUGUAGUACAUUUAGCAAUUCAAUACCCAAGUCCUGUCAGAAAACAUGAAGUGGACACUAUUGGAAAUUACAUUUGUUUAUGUCAGUUUGUGUGUGUGUGUGUGUGUAAAAAUAACAAGGUUAAAUGUCAUGAUAAAAGCUCAAAAAGACAGAAUUUAAUAAAUUCUCUUUUUAAAAACAAGUAUAUUGCCAGAACAAUAAAGGAAUUUAUCAGUACUUCUCUGCUUUGAAGCAGUCUUGUCUGCCUGGCCUAAACUUGCCAAGGAUGACCUCAAACUCCUGAUCCUCCGGCCUGUUCCUACAGCGCUGGAAUUUCAGGUGUAUCACCAUGCCUGGCUUAUAACACUGUAACAAAUAUCAGAACACUUCUCAGCUCAUUUCGGUGAGAAAUGGUACUAUGACAAAUGAUCAUUUUCAUUCAUGUUUGAGAUGAUACUGGAGACACAGCCAAAGGCUGACGUGUAGAUUCUAAGAUUAAUAUUAAAAUUUUCUUGU
rnacentral:lncRNA from 1 species